AACGAACGCUGGCGGCAGGCCUAACACAUGCAAGUCGAACGCUCCGCAAGGGGAGUGGCGCACGGGUGAGUAACACGUGGGAACCUACCUUCUGGUACGGAACAACCAAGGGAAACUUUGGCUAAGACCGUAUACGACCUCCGGGUGAAAGAUUGAUCGCCGGAAGAGGGGCCCGCGUCCGAUUAGGUAGUUGGUGAGGUAACGGCUCACCAAGCCUUCGAUCGGUAGCUGGUCUGAGAGGAUGACCAGCUACACUGGGACUGAGACACGGCCCAGACUCCUACGGGAGGCAGCAGUGGGGAAUAUUGGACAAUGGGCGCAAGCCUGAUCCAGCCAUGCCGCGUGAGUGAUGAAGGCCUUCGGUU
rnacentral:rRNA from 1 species